AGGUUUGACUUGAGCGCCAGCGAGAGAGCGUUGCCGCAGGCAACGACCCGAAGGGCGAAGCGUGCAGCGCUGAGUAAUCCUUCCCCCACCACCA
rnacentral:sRNA from 1 species